AUUGCUUCUCGGCCUUUUGGCUAAGAUCAAGUGUAAAUCUGCCUAGCUUUGAGGGCUAUGGUAACGAGUAAAUGAGAUUAUAUGUAUUCUCACAUAUAUGACUGGAGAGCAGGGUUAUGACAAAGUCAUGGUCAAGGUAUGGAAUGUUUUAUAGAAAAUACAAGUAUUGUUUUAGAAAUCAAACUUUA